CCUGGAACUCACUCUGUAAACCAGGCUGGCCUUGAAUUUACAGAGAUCUGCCUGCCUCUGCUCCUGAGUGCUGGGAU
rnacentral:miRNA from 1 species